rnacentral:lncRNA from 1 species
AGAACAGGGAAGAAAGUGCCCGAGUGAAUACUUUAAUUAACUCACAUGCAAUUUUAAUUAAAAACAUAAUGUGUCAGGAAAAUGAGUAAUGCCUUAGGGCAAUAAAAUAGCUGGGUUUCUUGCUUAAUCUUCUGCUUCAUCUCUCUCAUGGCACGUGUAUAUUAUUGUUAAGAAAAGAUUUUCUUCUUCUGUUUCAUAGUCAAAAAGAACCCCUGCUGACAAAAAUGAGUUAAAAAUAUAAAAAAGCUGUAGAAAAAUACCCUGUGGGAGGGCUCUCCUUUUCUUUCUUAAUCAAGAGUCCCUGAUUUCCUUUGGCUUGAUCACUUCCUUUCUUAGAACAUACCCUUUCCAGAAAAGCUGAUAGCUGGAUCAAAUCAAGGCCUCUAAACUCAUUCUCAUCAAAAUUUAUUACCUUUCUGUGACUAGGAUUAUAAUGAAAGGCCAAAAAUCUCUUCUCUCCCCUUUGAUGUUAAGGGUCCAAGAAUGCCUGGUUCCCUGUGGGGUACAGAAAUAACCCUGACUUGGAGUCAUAUGAUUUGGGUUUUAUUUCACCUCAUUUUGCAAACUAACUGUAAAGCUCUCUGGACUUCAGUUCCCUUAUCUACCAACCAUGGAGAAGAAAGCCUGCUUUCCAGUGCUGCAAAGAGGAGGAAACAACAUCAUGAACAUGAAACUGAUCAUCUCUCCUUAAGGCUUUUAUUCUGAUAUUUUCGAGACAUGGCAACCUGAAAGACCCAAGAUCAUCUCUACUUAAGGGGGAGACUUUCUUGGAAACAGAUAAAGGAAAGAGUCCAGUAAUUUGUAGCAAUGUGACUACAGCCACACAUGUCCUAGAAUUAAUGUUCUUCAUUAGGGUGAGUAGGAUCAGCUGUAUGUAUACAUCAGGUUUUUAAUUAACUCAGUCCCCACAACAGGAUUCAUGAUUCAAACUGUUAGCAUUUUUUUUCCUUAAAUCACAAAAUAAAAAAAUUGGGUGGCACA